rnacentral:rRNA from 1 species
GAGGCGCGCUACCAUGCAGUCGGACGGUAGCACAGAGGACUUGCUCCUUGGGUGACGAGUGGCGGACGGGUGAGUAGUGUCUGGGGAUCUGCCCGAUAGAGGGGGAUAACCAGUGGAAACGGUGGCUAAUACCGCAUAACGUCGCAAGACCAAAGAGGGGGACCUUCGGGCCUCUCACUAUCGGAUGAACCCAGAUGGGAUUAUCUAGUAGGCGGGGUAGUGGCCCACCUAGGCGACGAUCCCUAUCUGGUCUGAGAAGAUGACCACCCACACUGGAACUGACACACGGUCCACACUCCUACGGGAGGCAGCAGUGGGGAAUAUUGCACAGUGGGCGCAAGCCUGAUGCACCCGUGCCGCGUGUAUGAAAAACGCCUUCGGUUUGUAAAGUACUUUCAGCGGAGAGGAGGGCGAUGGGGUUAAUAACCGUGUCUAUUGACGUUACCCGCAGAAGACGCACCGGCUAACUCCGUGCCAGCAGCCGCGGUAAUACAGAGGGUGCAAGCGUUACUCAGAUUUACUGGGCGUAAAGCACACGCACGCGGUCUGAUAUCUCAUAUGUGAAAUCCCCGGGCUUACCCUGAGAUCUGCAUUUGACACUGGCACGCUUGACUCUUGUAGAGGGGUGUAGAUUUCCGUGUGUAGCUGUGAUAUGCAUAGAGAUCUGGAAGAAUACCUGUGGCAAACGCGCCCCCCUGCACAAAGACUGACGCUCAUGUGCGAGGGCGUGUAGAGCACACAAUAUUAUAUACCCCUGGUACUCCACGCAAUAAACAAUGUCCACUUAGAUGUUGUCCUCUUUGAGGAGUGGUUUCCAGAACAAACGCUAUAACUCCACCCGCCUGGCGAAAUGGCCGCCGAGUUUUA